rnacentral:rRNA from 1 species
CCUACGGGAGGCAGCAGUGAGGAAUAUUGGUCAAUGGACGAGAGUCUGAACCAGCCAAGUCGCGUGAAGGAUGACUGCCCUAUGGGUUGUAAACUUCUUUUAUAUGGGAAUAAAAUGUUCCACGUGUGGGAUUUUGUAUGUACCAUAUGAAUACGGAUCGGCUAACUCCGUGCCAGCAGCCGCGGUAAUACGGAGGAUCCGAGCGUUAUCCGGAUUUAUUGGGUUUAAAGGGAGCGUAGGUGGAUUGUUAAGUCAGUUGUGAAAGUUUGCGGCUCAACCGUAAAAUUGCAGUUGAAACUGGCAGUCUUGAGUACAGGAGAGGUGGGCGGAAUUCGUGGUGUAGCGGUGAAAUGCUUAGAUAUCACGAAGAACUCCGAUUGCGAAGGCAGCUCACUGGACUGCAACUGACACUGAGGCUCGAAAGUGUGGGUAGCAAACAGGAUUAGAUACCCCUGUAGUC